AGGGCCAGGCACUGCGCCGACUGACUCCGCCGCCAGAGCGCCCUCUCCUGGACCUGGGAGGUGUCGAGUUAGACAAGAGAACAUAUAUUUGCCCGAGAGCAUAAAGGGUUGAUCAAGGACGGUUUCUGCAGCAUGGCAGGUUAUCCUCUAAUACAGAGGCUAUCAGUCGACUUUCAACCAUUGCAGCCUGUGGUCCACACCUCCCUUUACAGACUGCUGGAGAGUCGCACCUGCCGGCCUCUCCUGCUAGCCCCGGAGCUUGCCUGAUUAUGCUCAGACCCUCCACUACCCAGCGCAGCGCCUGACCCCUAGAAGGUGUUCAGUAGCAUGUUUGGCAU